rnacentral:rRNA from 1 species
UUGGCCGGGCGACGGUUGUCCCGGUUUAAGCGUGUAGGCUGGUUUUCCAGGCAAAUCCGGAAAAUCAAGGCUGAGGCGUGAUGACGAGGCACUACGGUGCUGAAGCAACAAAUGCCCUGCUUCCAGGAAAAGCCUCUAAGCAUCAGGUAACAUCAAAUCGUACCCCAAACCGACACAGGUGGUCAGGUAGAGAAUACCAAGGCGCUUGAGAGAACUCGGGUGAAGGAACUAGGCAAAAUGGUGCCGUAACUUCGGGAGAAGGCACGCUGAUAUGUAGGUGAAGUCCCUCGCGGAUGGAGCUGAAAUCAGUCGAAGAUACCAGCUGGCUGCAACUGUUUAUUAAAAACACAGCACUGUGCAAACACGAAAGUGGACGUAUACGGUGUGACGCCUGCCCGGUGCCGGAAGGUUAAUUGAUGGGGUUAGCGGUAACGCGAAGCUCUUGAUCGAAGCCCCGGUAAACGGCGGCCGUAACUAUAACGGUCCUAAGGUAGCGAAAUUCCUUGUCGGGUAAGUUCCGACCUGCACGAAUGGCGUAAUGAUGGCCAGGCUGUCUCCACCCGAGACUCAGUGAAAUUGAACUCGCUGUGAAGAUGCAGUGUACCCGCGGCAAGACGGAAAGACCCCGUGAACCUUUACUAUAGCUUGACACUGAACAUUGAGCCUUGAUGUGUAGGAUAGGUGGGAGGCUUUGAAGUGUGGACGCCAGUCUGCAUGGAGCCGGCCUUGAAAUACCACCCUUUAAUGUUUGAUGUUCUAACGUUGGCCCCUGACCGGGGUUGCGGACAGUGUCUGGUGGGUAGUUUGACUGGGGCGGUCUCCUCCUAAAGAGUAACGGAGGAGCACGAAGGUUGGCUAAUCCUGGUCGGACAUCAGGAGGUUAGUGCAAUGGCAUAAGCCAGCUUGACUGCGAGCGUGACGGCGCGAGCAGGUGCGAAAGCAGGUCAUAGUGAUCCGGUGGUUCUGAAUGGAAGGGCCAUCGCUCAACGGAUAAAAGGUACUCCGGGGAUAACAGGCUGAUACCGCCCAAGAGUUCAUAUCGACGGCGGUGUUUGGCACCUCGAUGUCGGCUCAUCACAUCCUGGGGCUGAAGUAGGUCCCAAGGGUAUGGCUGUUCGCCAUUUAAAGUGGUACGCGAGCUGGGUUUAGAACGUCGUGAGACAGUUCGGUCCCUAUCUGCCGUGGGCGCUGGAGAACUGAGGGGGGCUGCUCCUAGUACGAGAGGACCGGAGUGGACGCAUCACUGGUGUUCGGGUUGUCAUGCCAAUGGCACUGCCCGGUAGCUAAAUGCGGAAGAGAUAAGUGCUGAAAGCAUCUAAGCACGAAACUUGCCCCGAGAUGAGUUCUCCCUGACUCCUUGAGAGUCCUGAAGGAACGUUGAAGACGACGACGUUGAUAGGCCGGGUGUGUAAGCGCAGCGAUGCGUUGAGCUAACCGGUACUAAUGAACCGUGAGG